rnacentral:lncRNA from 1 species
AUUUUUUCGGAAACAUCUCAUUGUUCUUUUUCAUGGUACUUAAAAUGCUGUCAUUCUUGCGACACUUUCUGUCUUUGUAGCUGUUUGUUGGAUGCUAGUUUAUUGCCCUGGAAGUCUAAAUGGGUUUUCUCUGGUGUUUACCUCUGCGUAUUUCCCAUUUGUUAUGGUAUAUUAGUAUCAUUUAAUCCUCUGCUAUCUUUAAAAAUAGGUGGGGCACAGUGUCUCACACCUGUAAUCCCAGCACUUUGGGAGGCCAAGGCAGGAGGAUCGCUUGAGCCCAGGAGUUUGAGACCAGCCUAGGCAACGUGGUGAAAACUUGUCUUUACAAAAAUCAUUGCUACUGUACAGAAUUGCAAUUGAGUUUUGUAUCCUGUGACCUUGAUGAAUUCAUUUUAUUCUAAUCAAUUUUUAGGAAAUUCUUUAGGAUUCUCUAUAGGCAAGAUCAUGCCAUCUACAAAUAGAGAUUGUUUUAUUUCUUCCUUUCCAAUCUGGAUGCCUUUUAUUUCUUUUUCUUGUAU